GACGAACCGUCCUAACGUUGUUCGGAAUCACUGGGCUUAAAGGGCGCGUAGGCGGCUUGCCAAGUCAGGGGUGAAAUCCUGCAGCUUAACUGUAGAAGGGCCUUUGAUACUGGCGAGCUCGAGGGAGGUAGGGGUAUGUGGAACUUCCGGUGGAGCGGUGAAAUGCGUUGAUAUCGGAAGGAACGCCGGUGGCGAACGCGACGUACUGGACCUCUUCUGACGCUGAGGCGCGAAAGCUAGGGGAGCAAACGGG
rnacentral:rRNA from 1 species